rnacentral:rRNA from 1 species
UACGGAGGGUGCAAGCGUUAUCCGGAUUUACUGGGUUUAAAGGGUGCGUAGGUGGGUCUGUAAGUCAGUGGUGAAAUCUUCAAGCUUAACUUGGAAACUGCCAUUGAUACUAUAGGUCUUGAAUUAUCUGGAGGUAAGCGGAAUAUGUCAUGUAGCGGUGAAAUGCUUAGAUAUGACAUAGAACACCAAUUGCGAAGGCAGCUGACUACAGGGAUAUUGACACUGAGGCACGAAAGCGUGGGGAUCAAACAGG